GUUGAUAAGGUUAAGUGAAUAAGGGCGCACGGUGGAUGCCUUGGCACUAGGAGCCGAUGAAGGACGGGACUAACACCGAUAUGCUUUGGGGAGCUGUAAGUAAGCUAUGAUCCAGAGAUUUCCGAAUGGGGGAACCCAAUAUCUUUUAUAGGAUAUUACUUUUCAGUGAAUACAUAGCUGAUUAGAGGUAGACGCAGAGAACUGAAACAUCUUAGUACCUGCAGGAAGAGAAAGAAAAUUCGAUUCCCUGAGUAGCGGCGAGCGAAACGGGAAGAGCCCAAACCAACAAGCUUGCUUGUUGGGGUUGUAGGACUCCGAUAUGGUAGUCUGUUAGUAUAGUUGAAGGAUUUGGAAAAUUCCGCUAAAGAGGGUGAAAGCCCCGUAGACGAAAUGCUGACAACACCUAGGAGGAUCCUGAGUACGGCGGAACACGAGAAAUUCCGUCGGAAUCCGCGGGGACCAUCCCGCAAGGCUAAAUACUCCCUAGUGACCGAUAGUGAACCAGUACCGUGAGGGAAAGGUGAAAAGCACCCCGGAAGGGGAGUGAAAUAGAUCCUGAAACCGUGUGCCUACAACAAGUCAAAGCUCGUUAAUGAGUGAUGGCGUGCCUUUUGUAGAAUGAACCGGCGAGUUACGAUUGCAUGCGAGGUUAAGUCGAAGAGACGGAGCCGCAGCGAAAGCGAGUCUGAAUAGGGCGAAUGAGUAUGUAGUCGUAGACCCGAAACCAUGUGAUCUACCCAUGUCCAGGUUGAAGGUGCGGUAAAACGCACUGGAGGACCGAACCCACGUACGUUGAAAAGUGCGGGGAUGAGGUGUGGGUAGCGGAGAAAUUCCAAACGAACUUGGAGAUAGCUGGUUCUCUCCGAAAUAGCUUUAGGGCUAGCCUCGGAAUUGAGAAUGAUGGAGGUAGAGCACUGUUUGGACUAGGGGCCCAUCUCGGGUUACCGAAUUCAGAUAAACUCCGAAUGCCAUUCAUUUAUAUCCGGGAGUCAGACUGCGAGUGAUAAGAUCCGUAGUCGAAAGGGAAACAGCCCAGACCACCAGCUAAGGUCCCAAAAUAUAUGUUAAGUGGAAAAGGAUGUGGGGUUGCACAGACAACUAGGAUGUUGGCUUAGAAGCAGCCACCAUUUAAAGAGUGCGUAAUAGCUCACUAGUCGAGUGACCCUGCGCCGAAAAUGUACCGGGGCUAAACAUAUUACCGAAGCUGUGGACUACACCAUUAGGUGUAGUGGUAGGAGAGCGUUCUAAGGGCGUUGAAGGUCGAUCGUGAGGACGGCUGGAGCGCUUAGAAGUGAGAAUGCCGGUAUGAGUAGCGAAAGACAGGUGAGAAUCCUGUCCACCGUAUGACUAAGGUUUCCUGGGGAAGGCUCGUCCGCCCAGGGUUAGUCGGGACCUAAGCCGAGGCCGAUAGGCGUAGGCGAUGGACAACAGGUUGAU
rnacentral:rRNA from 1 species